AUGCUUCUGUUUAUAGGUCAGGUGGGCCUACAAGGCGUUCGACAAAGGGGUAGUGGUCUGAAGAUGUUAUUACAUAUCUUGCACCCAUGAAAUAUUAUUUAAGGUGUUCAGCAGUUCAAUGGUUGGAACUGGAAAAAAAUAGGCCUCAGAAGCCAGAGACAUAGAGAGGGUUUCUACAGAGAGAGAAGCUUCACAAGUGGAAGUGAUGGAUACAAUUACCAAUGGUGUGUAUCUGAAGCCUGUGGUGAUGUUCAACAACAUGGUGGAGUUAUGAUGACGAGGAAAGUAAUCUUGUUGUUUUGCGGACUUUUUGGGAUCGUUUGAAGUCGUUUAUCGUAGAGGUGAGGGACUGGUGUGGUUUUUAAAUGUGUUUGAGAUGGGAUUUUGAGUGAUGAAAGAUGGAGUGUGUUUGAAGUCGG
rnacentral:lncRNA from 1 species